GAGGAGAAUAUGGUAUAAUUGACAUCUUCAUUAUUCAUCUUCCAAUUCAUGUACAAGGUUGCUUUUCUGGAAAUAAUGAUCAACUUUUGGCAAUUAGGCAGAAGAGUGGAAAGCCAGCAUUCACUUUUUACCAUUCACAAGACAUUCAGAAGAGCCUGGAUAUAGCUCCACAAAAGAUGUAUAAACAUAGCUAUCAUUCCUCUUCUAAAGCUCAAAUAAACAAAAACCACCAAAUUGUUAAUUCAGCAUUUCCAAGACCUGCAUAUGACCCAUCUCUCAAUCUGCUGGCUAUGGCUGGUCAAGAUCUUGAAGUGGAAAACCUUCCUAUCCCUGCAGCAAAUGUAAUU